rnacentral:Y_RNA from 1 species
UGCUGGUCUGAGUGCACUGGUGUUUACAACUAAUUGAUCACAACCAGUUGCAGAUUUAUUCGGACCUUCUCCACUCCCACUGCUUCACUGACCAGCCUUAA